rnacentral:rRNA from 1 species
UACGGAGGGUGCGAGCGUUGUUCGGAAUCAUUGGGCGUAAAGCGGGUGUAGGUGGUGAGAUCAGUCGGAUGUGAAAUCCCAGGGCCCAACCCUGGAACUGCAUUCGAAACUGUCUCGCUAGAGUCCCGGAGGGGAAGGCGGAAUUCCCGGUGUAGAGGUGAAAUUCGUAGAUAUCGGGAGGAACACCAGUGGCGAAGGCGGCCUUCUGGACGGUGACUGACACUCAGGGACGAAAGCGUGGGGAUCAAACAGG